ACUGCUUGAGAAGUUGAGUUUGAUUGACUGCUUCUCAUAGUCAAAUAAAGAUUUUGUAUUUCAUGCCUGAAUCUCAAGAUUCUGAGAAUUCGUAACCGGAAUAUGGAUUAUACCGAAAGGUUUGGUGGUGGUUCGGAUGAUAAUGAGGGCUUGUGUGUCGGCCUUCGGAUUUGUUGCCUGAAACUGGUGUGUUUGGAGUAUUUGUUAUAGGCUAUAAUAGUUGGAGUAUUAUCGGCAAUCAGUGACAUAGUUUCUCAGAAGCUCUCUGGCAUCCAGAAACUGCAAAUCCGUCGUCUUCUUCUCAAAGUGCUUUUCGGGUUUUCAUAUCUUGGACCAUUUGGGCAUUACUACCACAUAUUGUUGGAUAAGUUGUUCAAGGGCAAAAAAGACUCGACAACGGUUGCCAAAAAGGUAUUCUAUUGAGCCUUUUUCUUGGUUUUAUGUUGAGUCUAUUGAGUCUGACCUAUUUGGGUCAAGGGGGAUUCUGAGCGUUUUGGGUUGGGUUGGAAUGAUAGGGUGUUGGGGUCUUGAGUUUAUUGGGGUUUGCUUAGAUGGUUGUAGAUUAUUGAGAUGGAGUUGCUGUAAUAUGUAGGUUGUAGAAUAUGAUGCAAGUUUUUUUUAGAAUUGUUUAAAUUGUGCUGGUUGAUAGUAGUGUCUUGGUGUAAUGGGCAAAAUCUAAGGAGUAAUGGAAAAAAUGAGUUAGAGUGGCAGGGGUAUAAUGUGAACACUGGGAAAAUUCUGAAAUGGGAAGAUUGGGGCCUGAAUGUUUGCAUUAUUGUAGUCAUGAGACAGUUUAAAAGUAUGUGCAAAGGUAGCAGGAGCCGUCAUAACUGUCCUUUGUUUUUUGGUUGUCGGGGUAUUUUGGGUAUAUUGUAAAGUAUGAUAGUAUGAGACAGAUGCAGAUAUUUCGGAUGACUGAUUAUAGAGAUGGUAAUAUGAGAUAUGGAGUUAAUAAGAGACUCAGGGAGUGGAAAGAGGAUAUAGAAAUGGGUCAAAGAAAUGACUAUUGUUGGAGGUGCAAGUAUAAAUUUGCUGUUUGUUAAUGUUUUGGAUUAUAUGAAAAUGAGAUUGGAUUAUUAGUGUCUCACCGAGGAGAAAACAAUAUGAUUGGUUGUUUUGGGGUCUAAUUGGGGGUUAUAAAGAGCAUAUACUUGUGAUUUGGGCCGUGGCUAAUAGAGAUGGGAUUGGGGGUUAUAAAGAGUAUAAGCUGAGAGGUACUAUAUGUAAAUGGAUAAUGUUGGGAUUGAAGAAUAUAAAAAUAGAGGGCCAUAGGCAGGAUGUUGGGAUUGAUUUUGGAAAUACAAUGGACAUUCGAAGUAAAAGUGGGUGGCUUAGUUGUCCUGAGUUGGAAUUGUAUUUUUUUUAAUGAUUCAGCUUGCGACUUAUAUAAUUUAAAUUGAUAUAAAAACAAUCGGAUUCAUUAUACGUAUAACUUUCGAAAA